AUUGAACGCUGGCGGCAGGCCUAACACAUGCAAGUCGAACGGUAGCACAGAGAGCUUGCUCUCGGGUGACGAGUGGCGGACGGGUGAGUAAUGUCUGGGAAACUGCCUGAUGGAGGGGGAUAACUACUGGAAACGGUAGCUAAUACCGCAUAACGUCGCAAGACCAAAGAGGGGGACCUUCGGGCCUCUUGCCAUCAGAUGUGCCCAGAUGGGAUUAGCUAGUAGGUGGGGUAACGGCUCACCUAGGCGACGAUCCCUAGCUGGUCUGAGAGGAUGACCAGCCACACUGGAACUGAGACACGGUCCAGACUCCUACGGGAGGCAGCAGUGGGGAAUAUUGCACAAUGGGCGCAAGCCUGAUGCAGCCAUGCCGCGUGUAUGAAGAAGGCCUUCGGGUUGUAAAGUACUUUCAGCGGGGAGGAAGGCGAUAAGGUUAAUAACCUUGUCGAUUGACGUUACCCGCAGAAGAAGCACCGGCUAACUCCGUGCCAGCAGCCGCCGUAACAC
rnacentral:rRNA from 1 species